GGAAGCCAUUCAUGGGAAAGAGUGGACACAGAUGUUCCUUCAGAAAAAUACUGUCUCCAGCAAAGACCCAGAGCAGGAGAUGUGGCAACAAAUAUGUCCUGGGCUGAAGCAUAGCCUAACACUUCUAUUCUGAAAACACAGAAUAGGGAAGAUGGAGACUGGGAAGUGGGUUGGAAGUAUGGAGAUGCUUGUUUGGUUAAGAAAAUGACCUCUACUAUUCAGAAGUGGUAGAGCAUGGGCUCAUGCUCAGAAUAUCCAGCAACAAUAACACAAGGAGAAGUAUUAGUAAGUUCACCAAAGAUGCUUGAAAGAUCUAUUUGCAACGACUUCCGGGAAGGGUGACUUAGCCUGUGCCUGCUUUUGAGACGGGCUCCUGCCUCAAAAGAAGCUUAUUCAGAUAUAUCAGUCAGUUUUUUCUUUUUUUUUUGACUGAUUAAACUUCUCCCGGGUAGGGAGAAACGAAGAGAUUAACCUCAAAGCCUAUUUUUGUUGGGACGACCAGAUCUCAUUAAUUUAUGGGACGAGGUCCAGCCGACGAAGGUGGGACGGAUUUUUAACA